AUGUUCUAUUACGGGCUAGAUUUUCACGACCUGGCUCCGGACUCCUUUCUUCACAUCUUGGCAUUCAUUGUCAUGUGCAAGGCCUUUCUCCGCAUUCCCCCACACUUCGGCUUAUGGCUCAAGACCUUUAAUGUGAAGCCGAAGGUAGUCGACGGGGAGCAAGCGGAGUGUGGCGGCGCUAUGCUGAGCAAGCUCGCCAAUACUCUUUGGCCAAAGGGCUCCUUCACGGAAACACCCAACCUAUGGAAGCGGGAGUGGUUUUACAUCACCGAACCCCGUGGUACCAAUUGGGCAGCUACACAUGCGUUCGGAUCUGGCCCUCCAUUACGACUCGCAUCAUGGAUUAAUAAGGGGCUGGACUGGGGAUCGAUUGAUGAAGUGCAAAUGCUACAAAGCCGUAUCCGGAGCCUCCUUGAAAAGGACACCGGCCUCAUCAACGUGAUCUAG
rnacentral:rRNA from 1 species